AGUGAACGCUGGCGGUAGGCCUAACACAUGCAAGUCGAACGGCAGCACAGUAAGAGCUUGCUCUUACGGGUGGCGAGUGGCGGACGGGUGAGGAAUACAUCGGAAUCUACUUUUUCGUGGGGGAUAACGUAGGGAAACUUACGCUAAUACCGCAUACGACCUACGGGUGAAAGCAGGGGAUCUUCGGACCUUGCGCGAUUGAAUGAGCCGAUGUCGGAUUAGCUAGUUGGCGGGGUAAAGGCCCACCAAGGCGACGAUCCGUAGCUGGUCUGAGAGGAUGAUCAGCCACACUGGAACUGAGACACGGUCCAGACUCCUACGGGAGGAAGCAGUGGGGAAUAUUAGACAAUGGGCGCAAGCCUGAUCCAGCCAUACCGCGUGGGUGAAGAAGGCCUUCGGGUUGUAAAGCCCUUUUGUUGGGAAAGAAAAGCAGCAGGUUAAUACCCCGCUGUUCUGACGGUACUCAAAGAAUAAGCACCGGCUAACUUCGUG
rnacentral:rRNA from 1 species